AAUAACAAAAUUUUGAAUAAUUAGAAUAUUUAAUCAAUUUAUGUUCGGGUUUGGUACUAUAUUUUGGAUCGGUAUCGGUUAUCUUCCUCGGAUUCAUUUUUCCAAAUCCUAAUAAUUACAUGAAAAACAAAUAUCAACAUAUUUUUUAAAAUAUACACCCGCGCAGGCGCGCGGGUCAAAGUCUAGUACGGUAUUAAAUCAGCUGCAUCAUUGAAGUCAAAUUAUUCUUACCAAUUAAAUAUGACAAUAACACUUGUUGUGGUGUUAUAUUUACUACUAAAGACUUGUUACCAUAACGCUAAAACCUUUACCACCAACAUGAACACGGCUUAGUUUGCUCCAGAUAGGAACAACUAUAUAUGUAAACAUUAUGAUAUAACAUAAUUACAAGGAUGAAUGAUAUUAUUACCGACUACAAAUAGAUAUAGAAGAAGACAUAUUGCAACAAAUGGAAUGGUGAACUUUUUAGUUAAACAGUGAACAUUCAACAGUAGGUUUUCUCAAGGCCAGUCCACUAUGAUUAUAAAUAAUGUCUUUUCAUUGGUUACUUAAACUCAUUACCGAUCAUUUUUAAUCAUUAAUACUUUUUAACCGUUCAACAACAUAUUUUUCAGAACAUAUAGUAUUAGAAAAAUGAAAUAAUCCUUCUUAGAUAUGAUAUUCUAGAGACAUAAAAAAAUGUCUAGUAAUACAAGGUAAAAUGGUUUGGAAUGGUUUAUCAAUUGUGGCAGAAGAAAUACCAUGUCCAUUAAUUUUGCUGUAAACAGAAAUACAAUAGCAAAUAGACAUAACUAAACUAUUAUACAAAAAAAAACUAUUAUAACCAAAUAUGUUGGCUCUAAGCCAAUGCUUACCUUGCUUGUGCUCCAGACCAACACAUGGUUCAAUUUCGACGGUAAAUUUAAGUGUUGUUACAGAAUAUAAAUUAUGAAACAGAUUUUUUUCUUUCUUAACUCUUGUUUUCUCGUAUUAAAUAUCAUACCUUUUAUGUUUUAAGUUGUAAUUAUUUCUUUAAAAUAUUUGAUCAGAUAAACUGUAAGAUACAUGAUGAACUGCACCGCCGAAGAUGCAGCCAUGAUUUCUUGUUGGAUUGGUUGUCGUACAAAUAUGUACAAAGAUGGCAAAAAAUGAUUGGUUGUGGGAAAAGAGUGAGAUCCCCAACAGAAAUUGAACAAGCAAUAGAUGAUCCUUAAACCACUUCUCUUCUUUCAUUUGAAAAAGAAAAUCCAUUUAAUAUGUAAGAUGUUAUAUAUUAAUACAUAUCAUAUAAAGUGUAUGUAUUUGGAGCGCACGUAAGGACGUAGAGCGGAUGGUAGGGUAAAAUGGGGAUGCAUGGCUUGUAGUUGUAGAUCGAUGAAAUUAUGAAAGUGAGAUAUACAAAUAAGACAGCAAAACAAAAGUGGGUCACUUAGAAAAGAUCCCAACGUAGAGAGCAUAAUAUUAGAUGUCUCUUCUUUGUUGGGCACCAACCCCAGUUCCGCACACCUCUUUGUCGUUCUUUCCAUUUCCUUAUUUCGUACUCACCAUGUCACAACUCAUUAUUUUUCAUAUAUCAACUUUAUGAACUCAUCCUGAUAUAUACGUAGACCAUUGUUAUAACUUAUAUUGAUGUUAUAAGCUUGAUUUUGUUAUCGGGCUAACAAGUUCUUAUUACUUCGAGUUUCGUUAAUUUUUGCUACCCAAAACAAGAAUAAUGCUCGGAGAAAUUUAAGUAGACCAUUAAGUACUUCGGAACAAAUUUUAAAAUUAGUAGUGGCUCAAAAACGUUGUAAUGAUCCAAGACUUCAACCAGCAUGCUGAUAUGCUAAGAAUAAUAAUAAUAAUAAAAUUGAACAAUUGCACUUGAUAUACAAGAAAAUAAGAUUAUUUAGCUGUUUGGUAAUGUACUGUUCGACUUUCGAUAUAUCCUAAAACUGACCCUAUUAUGUAGGUAUUCGUACUCUGCACCGCCUACCUAGUUCUAGGCAUCAUCAUUCUUUCAUAGGUUUUGAAAAUAUAGCUGACAUAUGCAAUAUUUAAUUACUUUACUACAUUCUUGAACUCUUAUUUCCAACAUUUCGGUCCAUCGGUUGGUUUAAAGCAAUUGGUUUGGUUAGUUUAAUUAAUUUCACAAAUAUGCCUAUACCAACUUGGUUUAAUUUGUUCUUAUUAAUUGGAUGAAAUGAAAACCGGUUUGUUACAUUUUCCCAAUUGCUUUUCGUUAAACCGGAAUGGUUUUCAUAUUGUUGCGUUUCACCACCCAAGUGUUAUACAAUAAAAAAACAUUCAUUAUUUUCCCUACCAGAUACUGUUCUUCCUCAUCGACGUACCAUCUGUUUCGAUUGUUUUAUUUUCCAAAAAAAAUUGUUUCGCUUGCUUUGUUCCGAAUUGUUCUUCUUUUCCGAUUCAGUUUGAUCUUCUUUGCAUAAAACAAACAUUGCCUUUUUAUUCUCAAUUAACUUUUCGGGACAAAAUGUUAAAAUAUUACAAUGUUGUUUCAGUUACCUAUUUUCCUCAUGUGUACCUCAUGUGCUUAUUUUCGAAACCUUCGAUACACGGGGAUAUAAGUGAGACAAACUGUCAUGUCUUCUGACAGCACCUGACAGUAUUAUCUAUAUUCGAUAUGCCUACGAUAGCAUUGCAGCCUAUCUAUACAACUUAGAGUUUACUAUGGGACAUGAAUGUAAUUUCGCUUUCGUCUUACUAUCCAAUUACCUAAAAAAAUAUGUUUCUGCAUGGUUUACUAAUUAUCUUCUGUUUCGUGUUUUUUCAGCCAAUUUGGCCAAUAAAAUUUACCAAAAAAAAAAUAAUAAUAAAAAAAAAUCAAUGAUUGACCAUCUUCAUACUCCAGCUCCAUUCAUUAUUUUAAAAACAAGAUUUAAUAGGGUGAACCUUUAAGUCAACAUCUUCUUUCAGGACUAAUUAAAGUGACAUAUAGAUAAUUAGUUAAAACAUAUUAAACUUAUUUAAAAAUAAUUAAAAAAUAACGUUAAUUUUAACUACGAUAAUGCCGCUAGCUAAACCGUAAACUCUAAAUCUUAAAUUUUAAAUCCUAAACCUUAAAUCGUAAACCUAAACCUUAUACCCUAAACCCAAAUCCUAGACCCUAAAUCCAAAAUGUAUACCCUAAACCCAAAUUCUAUAUCCUAAACCCAAACCAUAAACCCUAAACCCAAACCUUAUAGCGUCUAGGUUUAGGGUUUGGGUUUAGGGUUUACGGUUUAGAAUUUAAGUCUAAGAUUUGGGUUUAUGGUAUACGGUUUGGGUUUAGGGUCUAGGAUUUGGUUUAGGAUAUAGGGUUUGGAUUUAAAGUUUACGGUGGGUUUAGGGUCUAGGAUUUGGGUUUAGAGUAUAAGAUUUGGGUUUAGGGUCUAGGAUUUGGGUUUUAGGGUAUAGGGUUUGGGUUUAAGAUUUAUGAUUUAAGGUUGAGAAUUUAAGAUUUCGGGUUUACGGUUUAACUGGCGGCGUUAGCGUUGUUAAAAUUAGCAUUGUUCUUUUUUUAGUUAUUUUUAAAUAAAUUUAAUAUUCUUAAAUUAAUUAUUUACGUGGCACUUUGAUUGGUCCUAAAAUGAGAAGUGAAUUUAAAGGUUCAGUUUUGUUCCUAUUUUAAUUGUCUUUAUGCAAUUUAAAUAAAAAUAAAAAUAAAAUGAGCACGGAGCACAUCCAUGUUGAAGAGUUUUGAGCGGAGAAACGAAAUAAGGACAAUUUGAAUAAAAAGGCACAAACUCUUAUGGACCUACUUGCUUUAGAUCAAUGCUUCAAGUUUUCAACUCUCAACUCGGGUUGAUUUACAGGGUAUAUUGCGUCACUCCACACCACACGUUUUUGGGUCUUAACUCCACACCACACUUCAAUUAGGGUUAUCUUUUUACUAGUUUAGUAAUAAUACAUAUGAGGAUUUUAUAACCAAUUAUGAUUUAAUCAAUUCAGCAGUGGUAAUUAACAAAACUUGUAACUUGGAAAAACAAAUGGAAUUUGAAUCAUGCAUUGAGGAACCAACAAAGAUUAAUGUAGACUACAGUAAACUGAGUAUUAGCGACCAUCCUUGAAAUUACUCAAUCUUCAUCGGCAAAGAUAAAUGUUUAUUACAUGCGAAUAUAUGCAGCUAUAUAUAUACCCAAAUGUGUAUUUGUUUGAAAAUAAAUGAGGAAAAAACAUUGGUCAGAAACGGAAUGACAAUCUUAAAUGUAUCAUUCAAAGCUAGCUAAGAAUUACGGGGACCAUGUCUCAUUUACUGUGUAACAAAGAUAACAACUUUAUUUAACUCCUCCUCAACUAUAUACAUAUAAGCUAUUCAAAAUUUAUAUAUAUGACUACGACAAAACUUAUUAAAUGACUAUAAUAUACACAAUACAUGGAAAUCGAUAUGUCAAGGUUCAAAUUCUUAUUGUCGAGAUUGAAUGAAUAGAUUUUUAUUGCACAUAGAGGCAGAUUUUUACUUACAUGAUAGGUCUCUUUGGUGGAGUUUCGCGUGACAUAUCGAGUAAACAUUUAAUCUCUUUUACAAAAUGAUUUGAACCUAAAAGCAAGUGUCAAGAGUUGAUAAGAAGGUAUUAAAAGCACAUGUCAACAUUAGUGUUCACUAAAAAGAAGACAAUGUCGUUGUCUUCCCCAAUUUGGUUGCCCAAAUUUAAGGGCAAGAGUCAAGAAUUGAUAAGAAGGUAUGACUAAACGCUCUAUCGUUUUCUCCUCUUGUCUAACUUCAUACCACUGACUUGUAUGUUACUUAACUUUCAAAAUAAACCCAUAAUUUAACUAUUAAAAAAGGCAUUUUAACCUUUGAAUAUAACAGUUACACAUAUUUUCAAUUUUAAAAUUUUUAUUAUCAUUUCUAACUUUUAAACUAACAACUUUAACAUAUCGAAUUUUGAAUUUUACUCCAUAUUUAAAAACUGUUGAUUAAAAUGACGUGGCAAAUAACCAUGAUGCAAAACACACACAAAAAAAUGCAAUUCAAUAGAGGCUUGAGACCUCUGGAUACAAAAAAAAUCCGUCGAGUCUCACUCUCAAGUCUCAGUCUUCCCUGUUAAAUGCAUAUGUGAUCCAUCUAAACAGAGCCGGCUUUGAAGAAAACCCAAUAAAACAUGUACUUCAAAACCGGACUGAUUUAUUUAUUCUAGAGGCUAAUAGUAAUACACGAUAGUCCCUAGCUCUACUUGUAACAACUAAAACUAGAGUACCAUCCGCGCAUUCAAAACGUGGAGUUAAAUUUUGUUUUUUUCUUAACAUGUUUUUUUCUUUAAGUAUGUGCGUUCGGUUUCCAGUUUAUUUCUAGAUUGUAUUUUUUUGGUUUUCGGUCUGAUUCCAGUUUGGUUGUAAUUUUUGGUUUUCGGUUAAAGAUAUAUAGGAGCCAUUCGGUUAGUUAUUAAUAUGAGUUUGGUUUGGAUUUACUUAUUUGGUUUUUGGUUUAAUUAAGUCACAAUAUUCAAUAGAUCCAAAAAAAUACCACGGUAAAUUUCAAAAAGACUGAAUUUAUUUAUUUUUAGAUAGAUCUAACAAAUUUUUACAAUAAAUUUAUUAAAUGAUUUUGUUUUAAUAGUAUAGAUUUUAAAUAAAUUAGUUAAGAAGAUAUACACAAUUUUAGUUAGUGGUUUAACUUUAGCAUAGGUAUAUACCAUUUACUAAAAUCUUGGUAUAUAUAAUAUUUUUUGUAAAAUAAAUAUAGUAUCUACGUUCAAAUCUUUUUAAAAUUAUAAUUUAUUAUUUAAUGGUAAAUUAUUGAAAAUUAUAACAUUAUAUUAUCACGUAAAAUAUAAUGGUAUUUGAAAAUCACUUGGUCUAUGUUAUAAAUGACUAAAUAUAUAAGAACUGCCCAUUAUGUAACUUAUUAUAAUAUUAUUAUGGCAUAUGAUUGUCUGAUAUGUAUUCUAUGUAACGUCAUGUAUAUGUGAUUUAUAUUUAUAUAAUAUAUGAUAAUUUAUAUUUAUAAAAUAUAGUAUAUAAGUGAAGUUUCUUAAGUAUACGUGCUUUUACGUCUAUGUUACUAUGUAUAAGUGUAUUUGUGAAAAUAUAUUAAAAAGUUAUACAUCAUUGAUAAUUAUAAAAGAUAAAUGUAUAAACUACUAGGGCCGGUCCGCCCUACAAGCGGGAUAAAUAUUUGAAAAUAAUUUAAAUUGUUAGAGUAAAUAUUUAAUGUAAAUUUUUGUUAAUUAAAAAUUAUAAAUAUUAGUUAAAUUUUAUAUAUGUUUUUUUAUUGGGGGUGGCAUUAGAUCAUUUCUUGCUUAGUAUUCAUGCUGUUGUACUGGAAGUUAUUAUCAUAUAAUAACUUAUGUGGUGCUUUUUAUUGUGUAAAUUGUGAUUGAGAUUUAAGAGUAAACUAGAUUUUGACCCGCGCUUUCAAAGCGCGGAUUUAUUUUUGUU